rnacentral:misc_RNA from 1 species
GAGGAACCCUGCUACUUUCAAAUGUAAGUUGAACCUUCAUUAAUGUAUAUUCUCUCAAUUAUGAAUCUGGUUAUAGUUUUAAAAGAAUAUCUAAUUAGUAGUAUUUGGGCUGCUAUAUUUGUUUUGUUGUUUAACAAUUGAUGAAGUCAGAUCUGGGAAUUUCAAGUGGAAGCUUGAAUUUAUGUUCAGCUGGUUUUACGUGCUGUGAAUUCAUGUUCUUUUUUCUUUAGUUUUAUUUUGAGGUGGUGCAUAAUCACAAAUAGGAAUUAUCUUACCUGUUAGUUUAUAUGUUCCAUAGUCUUGCUUCUUCAACCAGCCCCCUCGCCCUCCUCU